CCUACGGGAUGCACCAGUGAGGAAUAUUGGUCAAUGGUCUGACGACUGAACCAGCCAUGCCGCGUGAAGGUCACGGCCCUAUGGGUCUUAAACUUCUUUUGCGAGGGAGCAAUAAGGUCUACGUGUAGGCCGAUGAGAGUACCUCGCGAAUAAGCAUCGGCUAACUCCGUGCCAGCAGCCGCGGUAAUACGGGGGAUGCGAGCGUUAUCCGGAUUUAUUGGGUUUAAAGGGUGCGUAGGCGGCCUGUUAAGUCAGCGGUGAAAUUCAGGGGCUCAACCUCUGCCGUGCCGUUGAUACUGGCAAGCUGGAAUGCGGAUGCCGUGGGAGGAAUGUGUGGUGUAGCGGUGUAAUGCAUAGAUAUCACACAGAACACCGAUUGCGAAGGCAUCUCACGAAUCCGCUAUUGACGCUGAUGCACGAAAGCGUGGGGAUCAAACAGGAUUAGAUACCCGCGUAGUC
rnacentral:rRNA from 1 species